rnacentral:rRNA from 1 species
AUUGAACGCUGGCGGCAGGCUUAACACAUGCAAGUCGAACGGUAGCAGGAGAAAGGUUGCUUUCUUGCUGACGAGUGGCGGACGGGUGAGUAAUGCUUGGGAAUCUGGCUUAUGGAGGGGGAUAACGACGGGAAACUGUCGCUAAUACCGCGUAUUAUCGGAAGAUGAAAGUGCGGGACUGAGAGGCCGCAUGCCAUAGGAUGAGCCCAAGUGGGAUUAGGUAGUUGGUGGGGUAAAGGCCUACCAAGCCUGCGAUCUCUAGCUGGUCUGAGAGGAUGACCAGCCACACUGGAACUGAGACACGGUCCAGACUCCUACGGGAGGCAGCAGUGGGGAAUAUUGCGCAAUGGGGGGAACCCUGACGCAGCCAUGCCGCGUGAAUGAAGAAGGCCUUAGGGUUAUAAAGUUCUUUCGGUAUUGAGGAAGGUUGAUGUGUUAAUAGCACAUCAAAUUGACGUUAAAUACAGAAGAAGCACCGGCUAACUCCGUGCCAGCAGCCGCGGUAAUACGGAGGGUGCGAGCGUUAAUCGGAAUAACUGGGCGUAAAGGGCACGCAGGCGGUUAUUUAAGUGAGGUGUGAAAGCCCCGGGCUUAACCUGGGAAUUGCAUUUCAGACUGGGUAACUAGAGUACUUUAGGGAGGGGUAGAAUUCCACGUGUAGCGGUGAAAUGCGUAGAGAUGUGGAGGAAUACCGAAGGCGAAGGCAGCCCCUUGGGAAUGUACUGACGCUCAUGUGCGAAAGCGUGGGGAGCAAACAGG